ensembl:snRNA U1 U1 spliceosomal RNA
AUACUUACCUGGCAAGAAAGAUACCAUGAUCACAAAGGUGGCUUUCCAAAGACAAGACUUAUCCAUUGUACCCCAGAAGUGCCCAGCCCUGCAUUUUUCAAAUGUGAGAAACUCAGCUGCAUAAUUUGGGGGAUAGUGGGGACUGUAUGUGCUAUCUUCCCUA